AGAGAAGCAAGAAAAAAGCAUGAAGCAAGUCCAUUCUCGAAAUGAAAAGAACCAUCUUCGAAGGGCGGUCGAGACGAAAGAAAUGGAAUAUUUCAUUCAGAUGAAACGUACGCGAUAUUUAGAGCUAUUUGUAUCGCCAUGUAAACGUCGAUCCGAUAAAACGUCAAUCUGAUCGAGAUUGAGAAUCACUGGGGAAGUUGUAAGGGGGUGGUCUGGCAGGGCGUCGCCGCGUCUCCACCACCCCCACGAGCUAUCGACCGAAAGAGAAGCGAGAAAGAGAAUCGACGGACAGAGCGAGAGAAGCGGGAGAGUAACAACGACAGAAGAAAAGGGGGACCUAGGGUGAAAAGAAAGAGAGAAAUAACGCUGUGCAGGAGCGAGCAGGAAGGCAAUACGCAGCGUUUACUAUAGUCGCGCAAAACAGUUACAACCUAUAUAUACGUAUAUGUAUUUUGUGAGUCGUCGUCGUCGUCGUGGAACACUUCGCACCCUUAAAGGAGAACUCGAAGAAAGAAAGAGAAAAAUGACGCGUCAAAAUCUAUAACGAAUGAAUGUGAAGAUGUGGAGAACAAAGAGAGAUGAAACAUUAAAGGAAUCGUAAUUUGAAUGAGAGAGUUGAGCAAGGAAUAAGAUUUACAGGGAGGAAUUAGAGGACACGGUAUAGCGAGUGUUACGUAAGGGAACGAUAUACGGGUUGUGGAUAAUGGCUACAGUGAUGUGAAAAGGGAGACGCGAGUAAGCGUUGAAAGUAUGAAGGGAGAUUGUGAAAGAUGGAAAAAAGAAGAGAAACGAGUGGAGGAAGAAUUAUGAAGUGCUUGAAUUAAUUGGAGAAUCGUUAAAUCGAAUGGGGUGAACUAACGAAGAUGCUGUGAGAAUACAAUAUUCAUUCAGAUUCGUACAUUUUUUAAAUUGUAGUAUCCGGUUAGAUAAACAAUAGACCUUCUUGUUACACGUUUUCUAUUAGAAGUCAUCCAUUUUAGAAUAGAAGACAAUUUUUGGUUGAAACGAACUAUAUUGUUUGUGUGUAUUUUAUUGCUACCUUUUAUGAAGCCGUUAGUAGAAAGAUAUUAAAUUAAAGACAUGAGGUAACAUAGAUGAAUAGAUAAGUUUCAACAUGGAUAUAUAUAGACGAGUUUUUAUAGUCAAUGAUAGAAUGUCCAUAUGCGGACGAGUUUUCGCAGUAAAUAAAAA